AGAGCGAACGCUGGCGGCAGGCCUAACACAUGCAAGUCGAGCGCCCCGCAAGGGGAGCGGCAGACGGGAGAGUAACACGUGGGAACGUACCCUUUGGUUCGGAACAACACAGGGAAACUUGUGCUAAUACCGGAUAAGCCCUUACGGGGAAAGAUUUAUUGCCAAAGGAUCGGCCCGCGUCUGAUUAGCUUGUUGGUGAGGUAACGGCUCACCAAGGCUACGAUCAGUAGCUGGUCUGAGAGGAUGAUCAGCCUCACUGGGACUGAGACACGGCCCAGACUCCUACGGGAGGCAGCAGUGGGGAAUAUUGGACAAUGGGCGCAAGCCUGAUCCAGCCAUGCCGCGUGGAUGAUGAAGGCCCUAGGGUUGUAAAGUCCUUUCGACGGGAAGAUAAUGACGGUACCGUAGAAGAAGCCCGGCUAACUUCGUGCCAGCAGCCGC
rnacentral:rRNA from 1 species